rnacentral:lncRNA from 1 species
CUCUUGGAGGCCCUGUUGUCAACUCUGUUGGGUAUAUACCCGAAGGAGAAUCAUUGGAUCAUACAGUAAUUCCAUUUUUUAUUUUAUGGGUAACCACCGUACGGUUUCCAUAGGGUUUAUACCACUUGACAUUCCCUCCAGCAGUGGCUCAUUCUGUCCCUCUGAGGUCAGCUCUGUCAUCAUUCUCUGUCACAGGUGUGCAGACUGAGACCUACCUGCCCAAGCUUGGAGGCUGGCUGCAGACCUGGUCUCCCGCCCCUCCCGCCCUGCUGCCUGCUCCGCACUGGGGAUGGCGAGUCCUGCUUCAUGGGCUUACCAGCGGAGUUAAGAUUAAGAAACUGAGGCUAUCUUGGAGUCCAUGAAGGCACCAGUUGCUGUGGCCCUUGGAGCCUGGUCUGAAACCAAAGUCCCCGAAGGUACCAGCUGCUUGAUGGUCCCUGGGAGCUGUUGCCAGUAGGUCUAUCUGUCUCAUUUGGGUCAGAACAGUGCCCUGUGUGGACAGAGCCGCACCCCUGGCCCCCUCCCGAGAUCACCAUUCCAGGGAGUGGCGGGAGGCAAGGUCAUUCUGCCAGGACACCCUUAGCU